ACAUAUUCUUAAAAAUUUAAAUGAUAGGGGGAAAGUAAAAAAGCGGGUAUUGACAGAAGAAUUUUAUGUAAUUUAGCCAAAUUUAAACUCAGACAUUCCAAAUUAUAUAAAAUAAUUAUUGUUCUCUAAAAGUGUAGGCUAUUAUAAAACUGUGUUUUACAUAUUUUAUAAUUAACAUUGAGGAUUAUUAUUCAAAAACAAGAAAAUUGGGAAUUAAAGUGAAAUUAACACAGUAAACACUGACUAAGUGUGAGGUAUGAACUUGAAAUUAUUGGUUUUGAAACUACUCAAACCCCUCAAAAAGUGGAUGGCUUGUCCCAAAUUUGAUGCUUCUCAGUUCAGCUCAGCAAGGAUAGUUGGAAAAUAUUUUGAUUCAGCAAGAAGCAUAACUCUUUUCCCUAAAUAAUAAAAAAAGUACAACUUCUGAGAAAUUUCUAAUUUUUUUAUUUAUCUAUUAAAAAUAUCUGCUUAACGUUCGAUGUUAUUUCAAAUAUACUCCUAUAAUUAAAUUCUAUUAGCGAACUGUUGGGAAUAGCCGUUAUUUUAUGAAAUUACUUUUUUGUCAUUUUAAAUAUACUAUUCUACUGUUGCCAACUUUUCUUAUUUAUUCCUAAGUUAGGAACAAAAGAAAUAUAUCUUAAUUUUUUGUUUUUUCAAAUAUACUAUUCUACAGUCACCAACUUUUCUUAUUUACCCUUAAGUUAGGGACAAGAUAAGUAUUUUGACUUCUCUGUAACUCUUGUAGAAAUUUAAUCCGAGAUGACUUAGGCUUUGUUUGGAAUUGCGGUGAGUGCGGUGAGAAAGUACGAUGGGAAAAUAUCCUAUUUGUUUCCGUACGUAAUAUUGUGUUCCUCAUAUCGCGACGAGCUGGUUACGGUAUAUUUUCUACGGUCUCACCGGAGAACGCAGAAGUAUAUCUCUAAAUGCCUUUAUCCCAACUCUAUUUUAUCUAAUAGCGUCAGAUAGGCCUCAAUACCAAAUUAAGUCUUAACAAAUGCUAACAGCAGGGAUAUUUUGAAUAACGGAAAAAUAUACGAAAAGUAUAUUUAAAAUAAAAAAAAGUAGAAGCAUAUAAGAUAUUUUAGAAAAUUAUAAAAAAAUAGAGAUAUAUAUAAGAUACUUUAAAAGUUUUGAGAAGUAUAUUAAAUAUUAUCAAAAAAAAUAAAAAAAGCUUUU
rnacentral:lncRNA from 1 species